CCCUCCUUCCUUCUUGGCUGGGAUCCACCACCCCUACACCUCACAUUCUCUUCAUGUCCUCUGCUGCAGAUGCAGAUGGAGCACGCCAUGGGAAUUCCCCAUCCACCAUGGUCGCCGCCAUCAAGGGCUUCUUCACGGAGAUGUGGAGGACGCCAUGGACCUGCAGCUCCAAGGUCAACAGGGAGGAACCCUAGCCAUAAGCACCUCCUCGGAUGACGCCUCUGCUACACCAAGAUAGAGAUAUAUAUGAUAUCUACAUGGCUGCUAUGCUAUUUUUUUUGUGUGAUGAAUCAUUGUGAGUUUCGAAGAAACUUCCAAUGUUACCUCCGCCAAGUUUGCCGGCAGAAGAAGCACAUCCAUUGAGCCGUUCAAUGUCGCCUGCGGUGGCUACACCAGAGAUAAAAUCAUAUUUUUGUGUGUGUUAUGCACCAAGAUGGCUUAGCAUCAGAUGUUACCUAUGACAAUUUAUACUUUGUUUUGUGGAACAAUAACUCCUGCUAGGAGGGCAUGGAGGAGUUUCCCCUUGAACUCCACGACCUGAUUCUCAGAUCAUUGUUCUACUGACGCUCACUUCACCUGAACGGCUGGACCAGAUGAUAGUGGAUAUACCCAGUGUAGUAUAUUGUUAUAAGGUUGUGUAUUAGCUUCCAGUGAUUUUGCUCUCACUGGUAUCUCGAUAAAGCUUUAAGUAUAUGCGGAUGUCUUGCUCAGUUUAAUUAGUAAUAGUAUUAGCUUGAAGCUCCAUCCAUACUCAGUCUCAACUAGACACCUCCAUGGAUAGCUCCCUUGCCAUUAUAUUGAAGGUUAGUGUUGUUACCUGUUGCUCAACGUUGCACUUUUAGUACUCUAGCUGCUUUGUAGGCGAAAUCGCCACCACCUGCAACCAUGCCCUCAGGCUUCCCUCAGACCGUCCUUAUCAAUUGUAGUCUCUGCUCGCCCAUGUUAAGUCCCUCCUUUUAGAAAGGGCCUCCCUCGAUGGUGGCCUCCCCUGGAAGCUCUUGAACCUACAAUGGAGUCGGUUCCCUGUCAGUAUGAAAUUCUUGCGUUUGGCCGUCAGACUAUUAGUUGUAACCAUGUUAUUCUGUCAAGCUUUUCCAUUGAGUUGCCGAAACAAUAUCAAAGUAGAAGAUGUUAAAUAUGAAAGUACCAAGUUAUGUACUCUGCUAUUGUGGUUGUGAAGCUCAUACAGUCUGCUUGAUGUUCGCACCAAAUUUCCUUCAGGCAACAGGAUGAUGAGUUCAGUGCAAGUCUUCAAAUUGCAGGGCUAAUCAUAGGCAAAGAAUUCUGGACUUCUGUGGGUUUUCAUGAACGAUUUUGAAAUGAAGAAUAGUUGUUAAGUUAUUAUUUUUGCUAGAAGAGUAGCGUCGCAAAAAAGAGUAUUGCUAGGGAAGUAGCUAGAGUACAUGCUACUAUUUUUAUAGGGAACAGCCUAAACGACCCAACUUAUGCAGUCUACAGAUGUUGCUUACGAAAUUGGGUAUAGAGCCAUGCAUCUGCAACCAUCUAUUAGCAACAUCAGGUUUGUGUUUGUAUCUCCUUUGCCUGCAUCAUUUCUUGAUCAUUAUGUUAUUAUUUUGUCAUCUUGAAUCCUUUUUGUUAUAGCCAUACAUUCUCUUUUGGUUUAAGAAGAUAAUAAUCAAGUUUCACUAAAUGCAUUUUCUAUAGCAGUCAGAUUCUCUAAUAAUUCAAUCAUACUGCAUACUGGUCUGUAAUUUCAUUUCUUUGGUCAUCAAUCUACCUUUUCCCUGAGAUUGUUUCUCAUAGUGAACAACUGAUAAAAAGGAUUUGUAGGAAAUAGACAAGAAUGAUAAGGUACAUACUGAUGUUUUCUGUAAUUUUCCUGUGUGGUUCAAGAGAAGCGUAUUGCAGCAGAAGAUUCAAGGGUGAUAACGCAACGAAGAAAAAAUUUGUGUUGUGGGAGAAGAAAUUCUUGCCCCAUAGGCUUUUAGUUUAAAAGUUUCCAUUACAUACAGUUUCACUCUGUUCAUAUGAUACAUUGUUAUCACUCGGUAUUCUGCUCAAGGGGGACUGAUACUUCCUCAUAUGAGAAUUCUUAUCCUUCUGACUAUGUCAUGCCUUUUGGUCUGCCCUGGCUUAGGUAGUUUGUGUUGACUCCUUUAUUAUUCAGUGAUUUGCCAGCUAUUCAUGGAUU